rnacentral:rRNA from 1 species
CACGUGGUAGGGGAGCAUUCUCCUUGCGGUGAAGGCGCGUCGUCAGGCGUGUUGGAGCGUGGAGAAAAGCAUAUGUAGGCAUGAGUAACGAUAAUGCGGGUGAGAAACCCGCACGCCGAUAGACUAAGGUUUCCAAUUCAACGCUAAUCGGAAUUGGGUUAGUCGGGACCUAAGGGGCAGCCGAAAGGUGAACUCGAUGGACAGCAGGUUAAUAUUCCUGUACUAAUGAAUGGAAGUGAUGCAGUGACGCAGAAGUGAAAGCACCGCGGGCGGACGGAAGUGCCCGUUGAAGGCCGUAGAUAUAGGAGAGGUAGUUAAGUACGCCACUCUUGUCGAAAGCUGAUAGUACCGUACGACCUUCGGGUCACGCGGAUAGUGUGCCUAAUCCGACUGCCAAGAAAACCUGCUAAGCGUUUUAACCUAUUCAUUACCCGUACCGCAAACCGACACAGGUAGUCAAGGAGAGUAUCCUGAGGCGCUCGAGUGAAUCACGGCCAAGGAACUCGGCAAAAUGGACCUGUAACUUCGGGAGAAGGGUCGCUUCCUCGCAGCAAUGCGAGAAGCCGCAGUGAAAAGGCCCAGGCGACUGUUUAACAAAAACACAUGACUUUGCUAACGCGCAAGCGGACGUAUAAGGUCUGACACCUGCCCGGUGCCGGAAGGUUAAG